rnacentral:tRNA from 1 species
AGGGGAUUGGUGUAAUGGUAGCACGACUGAUUCUGGUUCAGUUAGUCAGGGUUCGAGUCCUUGAUCCCCUG